UACGAAGGGUGCAAGCGUUAAUCGGAAUUACUGGGCGUAAAGCGCGCGUAGGUGGUUCAGCAAGUUGGAUGUGAAAGCCCUGGGCUCAACCUGGGAACUGCAUCCAAAACUACUGAGCUAGAGUACGGUAGAGGGUAGUGGAAUUUCCUGUGUAGCGGUGAAAUGCGUAGAUAUUCGGAGGAACACCGGUGGCGAAGGCGGCUUCCUGGCAUGUAACUGACACUCAUGUUCGAAAGCGUGGGUAGCAAACAGGAUUAGAUACCCGUGUAGU
rnacentral:rRNA from 1 species